rnacentral:rRNA from 1 species
UACGGAGGGUGCAAGCGUUAUCCGGAUUUACUGGGUUUAAAGGGUGCGUAGGCGGGCCCUUAAGUCAGUGGUGAAAGCUCCGAGCUUAACUCGGAAACUGCCAUUGAUACUAUAGGUCUUGAAUUCGGUCGAGGUUGGCGGAAUGUGUCGUGUAGCGGUGAAAUGCUUAGAUAUGACACAGAACACCGAUGGCGAAGGCAGGUCUCUGGGCUGACACUGACGCUCAUGCACGAAAGCGUGGGGAGCAAACAGG